UAGGGAAUCUUCGGCAAUGGGGGCAACCCUGACCGAGCAACGCCGCGUGAGUGAAGAAGGUUUUCGGAUCGUAAAGCUCUGUUGUAAGAGAAGAACGUGUGUGAGAGUGGAAAGUUCACACAGUGACGGUAACUUACCAGAAAGGGACGGCUAACUACGUGCCAGCAGCCGCGGUAAUACGUAGGUCCCGAGCGUUGUCCGGAUUUAUUGGGCGUAAAGCGACCGCAGGCGGUUUAAUAAGUCUGAAGUUAAAGGCAGUGGCUUAACCAUUGUGCGCUUUGGAAACUGUUAAACUUGAGUGCAGAAGGGGAGAGUGGAAUUCCAUGUGUAGCGGUGAAAUGCGUAGAUAUAUGGAGGAACACCGGUGGCGAAAGCGGCUCUCUGGUCUGUAACUGACGCUGAGGCUCGAAAGCGUGGGGAGCAAACAGG
rnacentral:rRNA from 1 species